GGUUGCAGCGCUGGAAAAUGGCUGGCUGAUGCCUCCGUGUCACCUCUGGGGAGGUGUGGAGGCACCUCCAAAUCCUACUGGAGGUGAAUGCCAGCCAGCCUGCCUUUUCCUCAACAGCCAGAGGGUUAUUUCAGCAACACUGACACAGAGAUUCCACCAUCCACACACAGCCUGAUGCCUCCUUCCCUUCAUCCUGGUCUAGGACCACCCCCACCCCCGCCCCCUGGCCAUAGGCACUGCCCCAGGCCUGGGCACCCUGGGCAGGAAGCUGGCAGAGACCAGGACCGCCAGUCGAACUGGAGCAGAU
ensembl:lncRNA